GUCAGAGCAGGGAGACGUGGUGCUGGUGGCGCAGCCCGGGGUGGACAGGCUGGGCAGGGCUUCUUCGGCACCUCCCUUGCUGGGCAGGGAGGCCCCGCCCGUGCUCAGAAAGUUGCAGGACCUCUCAUGGAGGCCAGAGCGUGAGCCUCCUGUUCCCGACAACCAGCAGAAGGAACUUUCCAGUUAGCUAAGGAAAGGUGUCCGCUGCGGACAGGCCCAUGCUGGGCUGGCCAGGAGGGAAAGCCAGCUGCCCAGCCAGACUUGGAACAAUGCUCAGCUGCUGAGUAAAAACAGAUGCCGCUUCCCGUUACAGAAUGAGCUGCCGGCCCGGCCCCAGGGCCAGGCUUCUCCUCCCAGAGGAUCAGCUUCGCCAGGCAGAAGCCAAUGAGAGGACCCCACCUCCUCACCCCCGCUGAGUGCCUCCUGGGAGGGGCCGGGAGGGCUGGCUUCCUGCUGAGCUAGACUCCGCACUGGCCUCUUCCUGUUAGGGCUGGGAAAGCCAGGGCCAGGCAGCUGGGGCUCUGUCUGGGGCGCUUGCAGAGCGAGGUCUGUGCAGGGACACUUUCUUUUCCUUAGCUGCGGGGCUCGGCUGCCUGUGAUGGCGUGACUGCAGCCUCAGUGCCCACUGAGGUAGCUUUUCUUGCUCUUGCUCUGGAAGGUGCUGUUCGCCUCCUCGCGGACGAACCACCGAUAUCUCCAGCAAGACCAGCUCGGGCCAGCCUGACGCUGCCAGCCCGACAGCCAGGCACAGACCUCCAGGGGAGCUGGGCUGCCAACUGUGCACCUCCAUGUCCAGAUAAAAUGAAAAUUUUUGAUGGGAAAACGGUAACUAACCUCACAGACCAGGAUCAAAGGCCAGGAUCCGGACCAAGACCACAGGAAUCUCAGCCACAGGACAUCACACCCUCAUCCUUGGGCAGAGUCUCAGAACCAACCCUCUGGGAGCCAGAGCCUGCCUGGUGCUCACAGAGGUGGGUCCCAGGAUGGCUCCCAGAGGUGGACUCCAGGUGGACUCCACAUCCAUUAAAGACAGACAGAAGCAGAGGUGGAGUAGAGAAGCAUAUUGACUUUGUGACAAGGUGGAGGGUGACUAUGAGAUAUUUUGUAGCACAGAAUUGUUCUAGUUAAAUUGUAACAAGGAAGUUAAAAGAGUCUUGAAUUUAAGGAUGAAUCGUGUAGUUGCUUUUUAAAAAAAAAGAAUUGUUCAGAAUUUGUGCUCUAUCAUUGGGAACAAACGGCUGUCAGAAGCAAGCUUCUUGGCAGAUAUUAAAGGAGUAACAAUAAACACUGUUAAUUUGUA